AUAGGAGAGUGAGACUGAGACUCUCCUAAAAUGGAACCCUCUCUGUCCUCAGCUCCAGCCGUGGCUCCAGCUCUGGCUCCAGACUUAGGAUUGGGCACAAAGCUAAAGACUGAAAAGGACCAUGAGUCUUGUUCUUUGUCCUCCAGAGCUCCAAUUGGGUACGAGUACCAGUCGGAGGUGGUACAGAGCUACCAGUGAGGCUGCGCAUCUCAACGUGGACUUGUUUUCCACUCAUGCUUCCAUACUAGCAGAUUAAUAUUCAUGUGCUUUGCAUACUUUUACUUUGGCUUGUUUUCCUUUUUCUCAUUGGUUUGUGGGAGUUUCUUACACAUUCUAGUUCAAAAGUCCUUGUGAGCUUUAGGUGAAACAAAUGAUUUCUCUCAUUCUGUCAUUUCUCAAUGAAAGUAGUCUGAUUUGUCCUUGAUUUGAUGGAAAACCAGAGUUUGGAUGCAACCAAAUGUGUCCUACAAAUUGGUCUUUUUUUUUUUUUUCCUGGUUGGUUAAACUCAGAAUUUUCGAGCUUUAACACCCCUAUCCCAAUUACCCCAAAUCACCUCAGCUUCCCUCAGGCUUUACAUAGGAACUGGUGGCGACAUCAGUGAAGGCCUCUCUGGGCAACUUCCGGUUCACAUUGGCGUCCAGGCGUGAUUUCUUCAGCAUGUCCAUUGACGCGCAUGUUCAAUAUCACUUUUGGAGCUAUGCUCUGCAGAUAGUUAUCAUGGUGUAACGCGGUGGAGGGCGUGUCCGUUAUUUCCAUUGUAAACUUUUCUUCAGCGGCUUUGUCAGGAGAACAACAUGGUCGUGCCCAGAUAGAGUUGGUCACUGGAGGACGCCAUCUUCAAAAGAUGGUCGUUCCAUACAGCCAGGGAAGGCCUUGGGGUCUCACACAGCAAGGUCUUGGAGCUGUGCCAUACUGGCAGGGACCCUGUUGUGUAUAUAUCUACGCAGAUAUGUGUAUGACUGACAUUACAUAUUCUGAAAAAUAACUCUUUUAUAUUUUUACACUUAUUUGAAGGGUUUUUUUCCCCCUUCUACUAAAGAAUUCAAUGUCUUCUUGAAAA
rnacentral:lncRNA from 10 species